UACGGGGGGAGCAAGCGUUGUUCGGAUUUACUGGGCGUAAAGGGCGCGUAGGCGGCCAGCGCAAGUCAGUUGUGAAAUCUCCGAGCUUAACUCGGAAAGGUCAACUGAUACUGUGCGGCUAGAGUGCAGAAGGGGCAACUGGAAUUCUUGGUGUAGCGGUGAAAUGCGUAGAUAUCAAGAGGAACACCUGCGGCGAAGGCGGGUUGCUGGGCUGACACUGACGCUGAGGCGCGAAAGCCAGGGGAGCGAACGGG
rnacentral:rRNA from 1 species